rnacentral:rRNA from 1 species
AGUGAACGCUGGCGGUAGGCCUAACACAUGCAAGUCGAACGGCAGCACAGUAAGAGCUUGCUCUUACGGGUGGCGAGUGGCGGACGGGUGAGGAAUACAUCGGAAUCUACUUUUUCGUGGGGGAUAACGUAGGGAAACUUACGCUAAUACCGCAUACGACCUACGGGUGAAAGCAGGGGAUCUUCGGACCUUGCGCGAUUGAAUGAGCCGAUGUCGGAUUAGCUAGUUGGCGGGGUAAAGGCCCACCAAGGCGACGAUCCGUAGCUGGUCUGAGAGGAUGAUCAGCCACACUGGACCUGAGACACGGUCCAGACUCCUACGGGAGGCAGCAGUGGGGAAUAUUGGACAAUGGGCGCAAGCCUGAUCCAGCCAUACCGCGGGGGUGAAGAAGGCCUUCGGGUUGUAAAGCCCUUUUGUUGGGAAAGAAAAGCAGCAGGUUAAUACCCCGCUGUUCUGACGGUACCCAAAGAAUAAGCACCGGCUAACUUCGU